GUUUAGCAAUAGAUAUAGGAGUGUCCUGCUAUGUAUUUAUAGUAGUAACUUUAGAAAUGCAUUAGGGUUUAAUUUUAGAUUUGCCACCCCCUUAUUUAGGAAGUUUGUUGUAGUUAGUUUUAAUUUUUUUAAGAUAUAUCUAAGUACAGAUAUUAGGCAGUUUUAAUAAAAUAAAAUAAGACACAUAAUAUCUUCAUUUUAUGUUUCGGUACUUUAAUUCUUUUUGUUUUUAUUUGCAUAGAUGGACACAUCUUUGUAGAUUAGGCGCAUUAGAUCACAAGUAUUAAUUACUUGUACAUUAAAGCAUUAUCGACUUGUACCUUUUAACCCGUGCGUCGAUAUUGAACAAGACAACUAUCGAAACGUCAGUAAAAAUGUGUAGGUUGUCAUGCUAUCUUUGGAUUUUUUUUAAACGGUAUGGUUUAUAAGAUACGUCAAGAAUACGUAUGUUGGGAUUGAACCCUAUCAGAGGAACAAAUAAUUAAAGCCAAAACUGGAUCAGAGCAGUGGAUCCAGAAUAAGCAAAAGUUAUGUAUUCAAGUCUCUCCCCUUGAAAGUGGUUUCAACAUUUGCUGACCUCAAAUCAACUGAUCAUUACAAACUGCUGACCUACAACUGCUGAUCAAGUCAAAGACUGAUGGAAGACUAAAGCUCUGCUGUUCAAUCUACUGCUAUGGGUCAAGCUCUGCUGGAUAUGUCAAGUACUGCUGUGUUUACAUCAAGGUUGUAUAGAUCAGAUGUUAGAGUUUGUUAGGAGGUUAGAUGUCACUGAUGUGCUAAAAAUGGUUUAACUAAAUUAACUAAAUUA
rnacentral:lncRNA from 1 species